rnacentral:rRNA from 1 species
AGAGUUUGAUCAUGGCUCAGAACGAACGCUGGCGGCAGGCUUAAUACAUGCAAGUCGAACGCUCCAGCAAUGGAGAGUGGCAGACGGGUGGAGUAACGCGUGGGAAUCUACCCAAUACUACGGAAUAGCUCCGGGAAACUGGAAUUAAUACCGUAUGUGCCCUAGGAGAAUGGCUUCCCGUGGCUGAACACCCCGCGUUGGAUACCUUUGGUGUGUUAGCACAGGCACAUGUCCCCCAACCCUCUGCGGUGUGAAGAGGAUGAUCAGCCACACUGGGACUGAGACACGGCCCAGACUCCUACGGGAGGCAGCAGUAGGGAAUAUUGGACAAUGGGCGAAAGCCUGAUCCAGCCAUGCCGCGUGAGUGAUGAAAGGCCUUAGGGUUGUAAAGCUCUUUUUCAUUGGGGAAAAUAAUGGACGGUACCCACACAAAAAAACCCCCGGCUAACUUUCUUGCCACCACCCGCGGUAAAUACAAAAGGGGCCUAGCGUUGCUCCGAAUUCACUGGGGCGGAAAAGCGCACCGUAGGCGGUUUUUUAAUCAGGGGGGAAAUCCUUGGAGUCCACUCCCGAACUGCCUUUGAAAUUGGGGAGCUUGAUUCCGGAAAGGUGGAUUGGAAAUCCCAAUUGUAAAGGGAAAUUCCUAAAAUUUUCCAAAAACACCACUGGCAAAAGGGGUCCCCGGGCCCGGUCUGGACGC